CCUACGGGGGGCAGCAGUGGGGAAUAUUGGACAAUGGGGGCAACCCUGAUCCAGCCAUGCCGCGUGUGUGAAGAAGGCCCUCGGGUUGUAAAGCACUUUCAGUGAGGAAGAACGCCUGGUGGUUAAUACCCAUCAGGAAAGACAUCACUCACAGAAGAAGCACCGGCUAACUCCGUGCCAGCAGCCGCGGUAAUACGGAGGGUGCGAGCGUUAAUCGGAAUUACUGGGCGUAAAGCGCGCGUAGGUGGCUUGAUAAGCCGGUUGUGAAAGCCCCGGGCUCAACCCGGGAACGGCAUCCGGAACUGUCAAGCUAGAGUGCAGGAGAGGAAGGUAGAAUUCCCGGUGUAGCGGUGAAAUGCGUAGAGAUCGGGAGGAAUACCAGUGGCGAAGGCGGCCUUCUGGACUGACACUGACACUGAGGUGCGAAAGCGUGGGUAGCAAACAGGAUUAGAUACCCUGGUAGUC
rnacentral:rRNA from 1 species